AUAACCAAGCAGCACAUACACUUGUUGGUCAAGACUAUCACAUAUACAACCCAUUAUUCAACGAACAGGACACAAUUAUCCAAAAUAUCAUAAUUCAUAAAUAGCUGCUCAUAUGGCAUAUCCCAGUCUCAAAAUUCCGCGGGCAAUGAUGGCGCCGAAGUGUAAAAUUGUUCCAGGAACAGGACAAAAAUUAUCCAAAUUGUUAUGAGUCAAACUACAACUAUAUAGAGAUAAGCGUAGCUGCUCAAUAUGGCAUAUUGCAGUCUCAAAACUCUUCAGAAGGAUAAAGGGCCCAAAGUUGGUUAGAACCACAUCAUCUUCUACUCAUCCAUGCCCUCGAAUUCGAAUCUACGGCAUCUCGUCUUGUUUCCCGCAGUAUGCUCGAUACUUAAAAGCCUCUGCAUUUCGGCAGGAGGAUGGUAUCCAUAGCGCUGCAAAUAAAGAGCAAUAGCCAGGGUUACUUAAUAAACUUUCAACAUAUACAAUGACCACAGUACAGCAAAAAAUGCCAUUUACUCUGCUCUCAAGACAAGACAGUAAAAAUGCAAUUUACUCUGCCCUCGAGACAAUACAGUAAAAAUGCAAUUUACUCUGCUCUCAAGAGGACAAACAAUAUGCGGUUAUAAAAAAAAGGCAUAAUAGUUACAGUAUCUCUAACAACAAGUUGUUUUCUGAAGAAAGCACAAGAUGAAGAAACUCUUCGUCCAGAGAUCCAAUCGGUGACAGAACUUCCCAGGAGGAAUUCAAUGGCUGUCUGUCAUUCAUCUGUCCAAACAAGUUAGUAACUGAGAGAGAAUACGUGGGCAUGCAACAAGGCACUGGAUGAACGCCUAUCGUAGCACCUCAAAUAUUGAGUUGUUUUCUGAAGAUUCAAGACGAUAAACUUCAUUUCAGAGAUAAACUUCGUUUGGAUUCUUUGUGUAAGUCUAGUCAAGGGCACAUGGAACAUUUGAAACAUCUGCAAGCAAACAAAUGGGAGAAAUUCAAAAACCUCAACCACCCUUCUCCCUUUGAAGGAGCGAUUUCAUGCUGGGAUAGCUUCAAUCUGUAGCUUCUUCUCAUGCAUUUCAUCAAACACUUGACAAACGCACCAAUUGCCUUACCUUUGUCCAUAUCCACGAGGAAUCCCACGAAUAGGAAGUAGGCUAUGAUGAU
rnacentral:lncRNA from 1 species